UGGGGAAUUUUGGACAAUGGGCGAAAGCCUGAUCCAGCAAUGCCGCGUGUGUGAAGAAGGCCUUCGGGUUGUAAAGCACUUUUGUCCGGAAAGAAAUCCUUGGCUCUAAUACAGUCGGGGGAUGACGGUACCGGAAGAAUAAGCACCGGCUAACUACGUGCCAGCAGCCGCGGUAAUACGUAGGGUGCAAGCGUUAAUCGGAAUUACUGGGCGUAAAGCGUGCGCAGGCGGUUUGCUAAGACCGAUGUGAAAUCCCCGGGCUCAACCUGGGAACUGCAUUGGUGACUGGCAGGCUAGAGUAUGGCAGAGGGGGGUAGAAUUCCACGUGUAGCAGUGAAAUGCGUAGAGAUGUGGAGGAAUACCGAUGGCGAAGGCAGCCCCCUGGGCCAAUACUGACGCUCAUGCACGAAAGCGUGGGGAGCAAACAGGAUUAGAUACCCCUGGUAGUCCACGCCCUAAACGACGUCAACUAGUUGUUGGGGAUUCAUUUCCUUAGUAACGUAGCUAACGCGUGAAGUUGACCGCCUGGGGAGUACGGUCGCAAGAUUAAAACUUAAAUGAAUUGACGGGGUCAUAGCUG
rnacentral:rRNA from 1 species